rnacentral:piRNA from 1 species
UAGCAACAGCUGCAGUUGGUGUGUUC